ensembl:lncRNA
ACCGAUUUAAUCCAAAAAAAGACCCAGUAUUGAUUAUGGGACAUCAAGGUGUGCCAAGAAAGAAGAUGGUCAAAGAUCAGUGAGGAGGAAGGUGAGAGCUGCAUUCCUGACCUGUGGAGGUGAGGUCCAUGGGAGGAAAGAUCUGCUGCUCGAUUGGUUCCCAAAGCCUACAAAUGACUGGUAUGAUGAAAUCAAGGGGAUGAAUCCAUCUGAAGUCCCGAACGCUGUGCCAAAACCACAAGUGAAACAGAGUCACAUGAGGUGGAAUGAACAUUGAGGCUUCGUCACAGGCCACAAUGACUCAGACUUAGAGGACCCACUUACUUCCACACUCACCAAUUUACCCACCCGCUAGCUCUGAGACAAACACUCAUUCUUCUCCAUACUCACAGCUAUUUCUGCACAUUCUGAGAACUUGGUUUACCGCUUCUCAAAAGUGCCACGUGUUGUACAGCAGAAGAAAGUGAAUCUUGUUUUUGAUGAGGAUACAGGUUUAUCCCGUUCCCACACGUGAAGAGUGAGAACAACAUGAAUAUGGUAUUGGAACAGAGC